rnacentral:rRNA from 1 species
AGUGGGGAAUCUUGCGCAAUGCGCGAAAGCGUGACGCAGCAACGCCGCGUGGGGGAAGACGGCCUUCGGGUUGUAAACCCCUUUCAGGAGGGACGAAGGUUCGCCGGUGAAUAGCCGUGCGGAUUGACGGUACCUCCACAAGAAGCUCCGGCUAACUACGUGCCAGCAGCCGCGGUAAUACGUAGGGAGCAAGCGUUGUCCGGAAUCAUUGGGCGUAAAGCGCGCGUAGGUGGCCAUGUAAGUCCGCUGUGAAAGUCAAAGGCUCAACCUUUGAAAGCCGGUGGAUACUGCAUGGCUAGAGUACGGAAGAGGCGAGUGGAAUUCCUGGUGUAGCGGUGGAAUGCGCAGAUAUCAGGAGGAACACCAAUAGCGAAGGCAGCUCGCUGGGACGUUACUGACACUGAGGCGCGAAAGCGUGGGGAGCGAA